GUGAGGAAUAUUGCGCAAUGGAGGCAACUCUGACGCAGCCAUGCCGCGUGCAGGAAGAAGGCGCUACGCGUUGUAAACUGCUUUUAACCGGGAAGAAACCCCAGGACGUGUCCUGGGUUGACAGUACCGGAGGAAUAAGCACCGGCUAACUUCGUGCCAGCAGCCGCGGUAAUACGAAGGGUGCAAGCGUUAUCCGGAUUCAUUGGGUUUAAAGGGUGCGUAGGCGGAGCGUUAAGUCAGUGGUGAAAUCCUGCAGCUUAACUGUAGACUUGCCAUUGAUACUGGCGCUCUUGAGUGCGCUUGAAGUGGGCGGAAUGUGCCGUGUAGCGGUGAAAUGCUUAGAUAUGGCACAGAACACCAAUUGCGAAGGCAGCUCACUAAGGCGAUACUGACGCUGAGGCACGAAAGCGUGGGGAUCGAACAGGAUUAGAAACCCCGGUAGUCC
rnacentral:rRNA from 1 species